GACUUGUUGGCUCAUUGGUUGGAGCUUCGUGUUGUCAACACGAUAAUCGUGAGUUCGAUCCUCACCCAAGUCA
rnacentral:tRNA from 1 species